rnacentral:lncRNA from 1 species
GUUUUUGGAUUAAUGUUAGAAAGAGAAAGAGGAAACAGUGGUGAUGGUGUGAAGGGAGAAAUUAAUGAAAGUGGGGUUAAAAUGUUCUAUGCAUUGAUGACCAUUACACAGAGGGGUACUUUGGAUUAUGUAGUGAUAAAAGGCCUUUGAUAUAUCACAGUCCAAGUCAGGCUCUCUCUCUAUCUUUCUAUCUCUCUCCUUUAAGCUUUUUGCAGCUGCAGUGCUUUCAAAAGCAAAAAAAAACCUGAAAAAUGGCAGCCACACCCUGCAAAGAAAAGUACAAAAGAAAAAGAAAAAAAUUAAAAUUAGAAGAUAAGGUAAAAAAAAAGCAUCUGAUGCUUCAAAUUAUGCAUUUAACAAAACUCCAUUUAAAAAUUUUAACCACACACAACAGUUUCAAGGUUGAAAACCAUGGGAUGAGUGAGAGAUCUUACUUACUGCCUACUGCUAUAUUAUAUGUUGUUUAACUCUACCUAAAGUGUUUCAAAGUCGAUAAGCCUUUAACAGAAGUUGAAAACGGAAAAGCUACUUGAAUUGUAAUUACAUUGCAGCAGCUAAUAUAUAUAUAUAUACCUUGAAUCUGACAGUAAACCUCUUUUCAGCUUCACAAUUAAGCUAAAGAGAAAAGACAGUAAUUACUGUACAAUUUGGUGAAGAACUGAAAAAAAAAAACCCAACCCUUUCUUCUUUUUUUUUCUUCUCUCUUUUCUCUUCCUUCAGUUAUUUAAAGCUUUUUCUUUUAAGCUGACCCUAAAAAUGGCAGACACUACCAUCACCACCAUUAGUGUUUUAGCUUAAUAAAAAGACUAGUAAAUGACAAACCACCCCAUUAAUAAAUAAACUGUUCCUGAAAUUACCAACAAAGAAUAAAAACUUUCAAAAAUCAAAGACAAAACGAUAUUUCGUUGUUUUUGCUCACUUUGAAACAAUGUAAGUUGUUUACAGGUGUCGACUUCUUACACAAUAAAUAUAUCACACACAAAAAAGGGUAUGUUUUGAUUUUUAUUUUUCCCUCUUUUUCUUUUCCUUGCUCUUCACUGAUUGAAGUCAAGAUAAUAGCCCACAACUUAAAAAUCCAAAACCAGACUAACAGAUCUGCAAUUCACUGCUUCUUAUGAAGAAAGCUUCAGCUCUAAACAGAUCUGUUACCUGCAAAAAAGAGGGAAACAAAAGAGUUCUUGAGAUAUCAUGAUUAGCUUCUCAAUUAACUUUGAUCAAAGUCCUAAAAAAGCUACAACCUUUAAUACUUGUUAUUUCCUGUUCCAUUUAAAAAAAGGUGGGUAAUUUACAUCAUCUAUCCUUAGUCUCAAAACAAGUAAAUAGUGGUUAAGAAAAGAUUUCAUUUUUAUGCAUAGACCAAAUUUAUUAAACACACACACACACCCACAAGCUUUACAUAAUCAAAUCCACUCUUUUAGCUUCAAAAAAAAAAGAGAAUAUUAACAAAGUUUAAAGAAGCUUUAGUCACAUCUCCCCCUACAAAUUCAUGAAACUAUAAAAAGGAAAAAAAAAACAAAACAAAACUUUCAUUAGAAAGCAAAAGUUAAUGAAUUCACUUGAAUUCUCAUUAAAAAAAAACUUACAGCUAAUUGCAAGGAUUGAGUUACUUUGUAAGAGAUGGUGAGACUUAAGACAGAAAUGGAAAAAAAAAAACUGGGAAUUGGUAAAAAGGUGGGAAGAGAAGAAGAUAUUUAGAAGUGAGGGUGUUUCUGUAUAUAAUAUGAAUAUGAGGUUUAAUGUGAAUAAAAAGGAGAAUAUAUAUCUAUAUGUGUUUAUAUAUAUAUAUGAGAAAGAAAAUAAGAGAAAAAGCAUUUCAAUUCAUCACCAUUCGAUCGAACAAAUGAGCGGCUUAUCGGGAAAGGACCAGACACUGCGCCGUUCCAAUCUUUAAGAGAUGUCUUCUUUCUCCCACCCUUUGCCCUCUUCUUCCUCUUAUAUUUACUAAUUUGCCAUUUCUUCUAUGCUUUUUUAUUAG